GGAACGUGUCCCGGCGUAAGAAGCGACACGAGCCACGUCACCGUUGCUCUCGCGACGAAAGAGACCGCCGGAUCACAAUAUAUCUCAUUCCGAGCCGGUCGACAAGUUCGAUCGUCGUUUUCGCCGGCCGUAUAAAUCAGACGGAGGAGCGACGCGAGCCAAAGACCGUUUACCUUAUUUAAAUUGCCGAAGCCGAGCCUCUGAAUAGCCUGGGACUUCCAGUCCGGAAGCGGCGGGUUGAAGGCGACCGCGGACGGCGGGGCGGAAGCCUUCAGAACACCAAGAGGCAGCGUGACUAGCACCGCGUCCGCCUUGUACACCGUGUGAUUUGUGUGGGGGCUACGAGAGGGUGCGGCCCAUACCUCCACCCCGUUCACUCCGUAUCGGACCGCCCUGGUCGCUGUAUUCAACCGGAUGUCCAGGCCCUCCGACAAAGCAACAGGAGUCGAAGUGCAGCCGGGAGCGUAACAGCGAGGGACGCGCCUCGAGAACAGAGUGAAACGAGGACGAAACGCGUGUACCGUGUAACCAGGAUAGAGAUGGACGAACGAGGAGAGGGGAAAACAGGUGGAGAGAAGGGACGCGUAGCGUCGUCCUGGUCGAACAGUCAAAUACUGAAACGGCCUCGAGAGAAACAGAGACUGGCAGAACUGUGCGGCGCGCCGCGCGAGUUCAUCGCACCGGAGCAAAGCCGUGUGCCGCGUGUUUUUGCGCGCCACGUGAACGCAUGCAGUUCGGGAACAGGACAUAUGAAAUCGGGAAGAGGGUAGCUGCGGUUAGGAAACGUGCCCGUACACACGUCACACAGCAGUACGUUGCUCGAGUACCGAUCUAGCGAAUUUGAAUCUCGUCGAUUUGAAUCGAAAUCGAGCGUGCCGUGGUUCCGAGCUGCUUCCACUAAGCAGAUUUACGAAAACUCUUCGUGAAUAGGAGAAAAGGAAAGCGACAGAUGCUCGGUUAAAAGAGCGGUUUCCUCUUUUCUUCGCCGAUGAUAUAAAUAUUACUGAUUCUUUCUUUGUGUUAUAAUUUCUGUGACGUUUUAUCAAUUGUGGCAAAUGACAGAGAAAUUUAGAACGUUUGUUGGGCUGUGUAAGAAAAUUUAUUUACUCGCAAUUGUUAAUAAUAGAAACAUAAUAUUUUCAUACAACAAAACGACAUAAUAAUAUUUUCUAAUCUAUUUGUAAAAACGACACAGCGUAAUAGUGUUCGAACCAGUUUCCCUACAAAUAAAUAGAUUUAUCGUUUAAUUACGUGGAAUAUUUUGAAGCACCAAACAAA
rnacentral:misc_RNA from 1 species